CAAAGCUCUUUCCCUUUUAAAACAUCUUAAAUUAAAAUUCUCAUAUAAAAUAAUUCUUUCAUGUGAACUUAACACAAAAGCCUCAAUUGACUUAGUUUCUCAGUGUAAGAAAAUCACAAAUUAUAACAGUCCAAACUUAAUCAACCCACAAAAUAAAAAGAUUUGCGGCCCAAACAAAUUUGGACACAAAAAGAAAUAAAAAAUAAUAAUAAUAAUAAAACCACUCUAAAUAAAUCCAACCCACAAAAUUAGAUUCUUUUCAAACAAAUGGGCCCAAAUAAACCAAGCCCAAUUCAAUUAAAUGGGCAGCCAAGGCUAAUCCACACAAUAACCAUGAAGUCAGACGCCUGAAAAUUGAGACGUCGUAUCACACCGAUUGCACACACAUAAACGCUCGAUCCAACUCCGAUAACCUACCAUACAUAGCCACACUUAAUUGAUACCCACCGGUGAAGAGGGGAAAAAACUACUCAAGCUACAAUUGAAUACCACUAUCGCUGUGCUGAAGAUGGCGAUCUGCACCACCACCGCCGCGUUGAAGACGACGAUCUACACCAACCAAGAUGUUGACCACAAAUCAGCCAACCCAAAAUUCCAAACGCAUGACCACCCAGAAAUCUUGAAUACCCUAAACAAGAAAUUCAAUCACCUACUCCGACCACCCCGUAGGCAGAAUAAAAUUGAAAAUCAAAGAUUCAACGAUGGGAUGUAGAGGUAUCGCUGAUACCGUGUCAAUAUUUUGGCUGAAUGCCCUUCCGAUUUGGGGCUCUUCCAUUAAAUAGAAAUAAUCGUAUCAUCCUAAUAUGGUAAACAAAAACUAAUUACAAUAAUUUACAAUCAAUUAUAUAUAGGUAAUUAUAGUUGUGAUAAUCUCCGUGGUAAUCUUCGAUGUAAUCUCCACAAUUUUUGCCAAUCUUCAAUUUCGUUAACAUAUUAUAGUUUAUACAUUUCAG
rnacentral:lncRNA from 1 species